rnacentral:rRNA from 1 species
CCAAUAGCGUAUAUUAAAGUUGCUGUGGUUAAAAAGCUCGUAGUUGAACCUUGGGCCUGGCUGGCCGGUCCGCCUCACCGCGUGUACUGGUCCGGCCGGGUCUUUCCCUCUGUGGAACCUCAUGCCCUUCACUGGGUGUGGCGGGGAAACAGGACUUUUACUUUGAAAAAAUUAGAGUGCUCAAGGCAGGCCUAUGCUCGAAUACAUUAGCAUGGAAUAAUAGAAUAGGACGUGUGGUUCUAUUUUGUUGGUUUCUAGGACCGCCGUAAUGAUUAAUAGGGACAGUCGGGGGCAUCAGUAUUCAAUUGUCAGAGGUGAAAUUCUUGGAUUUAUUGAAGACUAACUACUGCGAAAGCAUUUGCCAAGGAUGUUUUCAUUAAUCAGGAACGAAAGUUAGGGGAUCGAAGACGAUCAGAUACCGUCGUAGUCUUAACCGUAAACUAUGCCGACUAGGGAUCGGACGAUGUUAUUUUUUGACUCGUUCGGCACCUUACG